CCUGUGGCCAUGGAAACCAGUUACUAUGAUUGGCCAGGCCUACUUUUUAUGUUCAUUCCUACGGCUGCAGGGCCAUGUCCUGCGAUUGGCAGCUCCUCAGAACCACAUGGAGUGGAAGAGCUGUCCCUAGAAAUAGGGUGCUUGGUAUUCUGAGAGAGGAGCAAUUGCUUGAAAACCUGUGAUAGCAAAACUGUACAAGUGGGAGAUUAUUUCAUUUCCAAGAUAUAACCAAUCAUGCUGUCCCCAGAACCGCCCGAGAAGAAACUCUCAAUCUGGGAACAGGCACACGCCUCGAAUUAUCAGAAAAGUCGCUGAGAUAAGACAUGCAUGAUCUCCUUCCUAAAGAGGACAAGAAUGACAGCCACAUCAUCUGGAGAAGGCAGCCAGGGAAGUACUCAAGAGAAAACACUUCUGUGGGUGACUUGAAGAAGCUGGUCACCAUAUGGUUGUGGACCAAGCUUCACUUUUUUGCAGCUUUCUGUUCCAACAAGUUACUCCCCCCAGAUCCCACCUAUUUUAAAAGCAACUCCCAGAGAAAGAAAGGCUUGACAGCCAACAGAUGACCACCACAUUCUCUCCCACAAGUCAUCUGAUUUCAAAAGGCAAGUUCUGUUCACAGGAAGGAGAGUAUCCAUACAAGUCCAAGUUCAGUGAGAGGGACUGUCCUGUAACCUGGAAGCCAAGGACUGGAAUGCCCUCAUUCACUUAUUCUGAUUCAUAAAGUUUAAAUUACUAAAAGAGGUUAACAACUUCAACAUG